GACGAACGCUGGCGGCGUGCUUAACACAUGCAAGUCGAACGGAACUUCCCUGCUUUUUUGGGGUGCUCGAGUGGCGAACGGGUGAGUAACAAGUGAGUAACCUGCCCUUGCCUUUGGUCUAACUUCCGGAAACUGAGGCUAAUACCGGAUAGGAGCUCCUGCUGCCUGGUGGGGGUUGGAUAGUUUCGGCGGUUGGGGAUGUACUCGCGGCUUAUCGGCUUGUUGUUGGGGUAGUGGCUUAGCAUGGCUUUGACGGGUAGCCGGCCUGCUAGGGUGAACGGCCACAUUGGGAUUGAGAUGCGGCCCAGAGUGCGACGGGAGGCAGCAGGGGGGAAUAUUGCACAAUGGGCGGAAGCGUGAUGCAGGAAGGCCGCGGGCGUGAGGACGGCUUUCGGGUGGGAAGACGCUUUCGCUUGUGAUGAAGCGUGAGUGACGGUAAGGGGUAAAGAAGCACCGGCUAACUACGUG
rnacentral:rRNA from 1 species